UACGAAGGGUCCUAGCGUUGUUCGGAUUUACUGGGCGUAAAGCGCACGCAGGCGGCUCGAUCAGUCAGGGGUGAAAUCCCAGAGCUCAACUCUGGAACUGCCUUUGAUACUGUCGAUCUGGAGUAUGGAAGAGGUGAGUGGAAUUCCGGGUGUAGAGGUGAAAUUCGUAGAUAUUCGGAGGAACACCAGUGGCGAAGGCGGCUCACUGGUCCAGUACUGACGCUGAGGUGCGAAAGCGUGGGGAGCAAACAGG
rnacentral:rRNA from 1 species